CCAAACAUAGCCAUACAAAGCCUCUCGACCCUACCUCGAUCCUCUCUCUUGAAUAGCCUCCCCGAAACGCCUCGAUCUCUCUCUUGUGAAUCUCUCAGUCUUCCUCGAAAGCUCUCUAUCUCGUGAAACCUCUCUCAGCCCUCUGUCCCCAGUUUCCAAUUCCUCACUUAAUUUCAACUCUCUAAAUCCCUAAAUCCCUAAAUCCUCCACCUUCACGGGGAGCUGACUACGAUGGCCUCGAUUCUCAAGCCGUCCAAUAGGGUGAGAUGGGAAGACGAUGGCGACUAGUAGUAGCGGCGGCGGUGUUUUGUUGGCCUUUCUGGAGAGGCAGAGGGCUAACUUCAACAAUGUUUUGAGAGAGAUGAGUAUUUUCGCUACUCAGGCGAUUGUAACGCCCAAUUCUGUGCUCAGUGAAGAGGCCUUCAAGGGGCUAGGGGAGUUUUUGAAGGAGGAACUGGACUCGGAGUCGGAGAGUGAGGUGGUUGAGCCGGCUAAUGAAGACGAGUUGGCUCUUUUGAAAUUGUGCUUGCCUCAGCGACUUGCGGAUAGCUUUGAGAGGCGUGGCAUUUCUUCGCUUUUUCCCAUUCAGAGUUGAUGAUGACUGCUGAGGAUGUAAUGAAUUGAGCAAUUACUGAUUGAUAUCUUAACCAGAUUUCACUUCCAGCAGGGAAUGCUGUCUACUCAGCAGAACUUCUUCAUUCAACAGGGCCACCUCCAGAAGGGCUUUGUCGUCUGCCUCACCUAAUUCACCUGCAUCACAGUCCAAACCCGCCGAAUUGUGAAGUCAAUUGAAAGUAAUUGUUCUGUUAAGAACUUGAUAGAUUGCCGGUAAGCUGAUGGUAUCUUGAAAAACCCAAGAACGGGAACAACUGUAUAUGCCAUUGAAGAUAUGUUCCGCUAGCUCAAUGGUGAAACAGAAAGCGACCACCUUCCGGAGGUUGUAACAGGUCUGCUAAUAGCCGAAGUUAAUGUAAAUACCAUGUCUGAACUCGGUUCUGGUGGUGUAUCACUGGUAUCCAUGGCAAUGAGGACUGUUGGUAAUGUGGGAGUUCAAAUUGCUUGGAAGCAUAUCAGAAUGACACAAGACCUUGUGAACGCUGUGGUUUGAUCACUCCAUAUAAAGUUAUUUGGACAACGUGAAAGGCUCACGUUCCGAAACUUCCGAAACCCAAGUUUUAUGUAAACAUUGCGCAAAGGUUCAAACUUGCCUCAUGUUGAAAGUUUUAUCAACUUCGAAGUCAAACUUUGUCAUUGUAAUUGUAUUCAUAUGUAGCUAGUUAGGAAUGGUAUGUUGUUUGGUACAUUAUUUAGUUACUUAAAUGUAUGGACGUUUGAAAAAUGGUACUUGAAUGAUAUGGAAUAGAGUACUGUGUAUGUGGUAA